GGUGUGCGGGGCGCCUUGUAUGUAGCCCCCAGAACAGUGAGUUCCUCCUCGGGGAGGGGGACGGAGCCGAGGGUUUCGGACAAGAGGAGCGGAAGCUGCGUCGCCCAGGCUGCAAUGUUCAUCCUGCAAAGGACUGCCGCUGCUAUGAAGGGCGAAGGCCCAGCAUCUCCAGCAGCUCGGGCCACCGUGCCUCCCUCCCCUGAGACGUCCCUGGAAGGACCGUGUCGACUGGAGACGAUCUGUUCCCCUGGGACUCACACGCAGUGUACCCGACCUGUGCUCCCAGCCGGCGCUUUUUAAAGCUAAGCUUCAGGAAUUGCAUUUUCUUUGGGAGUCAAGCCGAAGCACUGCCGCGUUCCUAAUCACCUUUUUGCUCUAGGCAGUAAAAACAGCCUUUCUCUGUGGCGUGACAUCUUAGGGACAGCCUUUUAAUACCAACUGUGGCCUUAAGUUUGCUACCGUUUUGCUGAGCCAGUGUUCCUGAGGGCUCCUCUGUUACCAAAAUUAAUAAGUUUCUUAGCAGGGAAGAUGGUAGCACGGGUAUCUUACGUAGACUAAUGCUUCUUUUGUAAGGACUGUGAUAGAAGUAUGUAACUCCGAUGGUAAAACAUAUUAUUCCAUUUGAACAACUUUUUUUUUCGUUCAGGUGUAUGCUUUUUUCCCUACACAAACAUUGGACAUACUUGUAAUUUAGACAAGUUUCAUGUAUGUAUAUAGAAGGUGCUUAGAGAAUACCAGCUUCUUUUGAUAUAAGGUCUGGGGAUAUAAAUUGGUUUUCUAAAAAUGCAGUCAAUAUAGGAAUUCCCUAGCAGGCCAGUGAUUAGGCCUUGGCAGUCUCAUUGCAGGGCCUGGGGUUCAAUCCCUGUUUGGAGAACUAAGAUCCCUCAAAGGUUUGUGGUGCAGGCAUUAGGGGAGGUGCUGGUGAUGGAAGUCAAUAUAUUACAAAAUAAAAGGCCUGAUCAUUUGCUGGUUGGAAUUAUGCCCAGUUUCUGCUUUCUUCUCUAGUUGUUUACUAUAAUAGACAAGAGUAUUAAAUUCAGUGUCCACAAAUUUGGGACUGAAUCCUGCUCUACCAUGUUCCGGUUGUGUGACCUUGGGAGAGUUUCUUAAUGUCUGUUUUGUUCACCUAUAACAUGCUGGUACCUGUUUGUUUAUACAAGGCUUUCCUGAGGGCUCAGUGGUAAAGAAUCCACUUGCUAAUGGAGGAGAUGUGGGUUCUAUCGCUGGGUUGGGAAGAUCCCCUAUAGAAGGAAAUGGCAACCCACUCCAGUAUUCUUGCUUGGGAAAUUCCAUGGGCAGAGGAGACUGGUGGGCUACAGUCCAUGGGGUUGCAAAAGAGUUGGACAUGACUUAGGAACAACAACAGCAAUAUUUUUAUACACUUCAGGGAGCUCUUGAAAGAAUUACAUGAGAAAUGUUAUGUGUAAGGUAUCUGGUUCACUGCAUGACAUAACAGGCAGUAACAGAUUGAAAAGUAUAAGUCUUUUAUUUUCUAUGUGUGUGCCUUCUUUUAAACUCUCAUUUUUCUUGAAUUGUGCUAUUUUUUAAUAUCCUAAAAUGGAUGCCAAGUCCAUAUAUAGUUGCCUUCCAGUCCCUCAAGUAGGUCAGGGGUUGUAAUUGGGUCCAGAAGAUAAAGCUUAGGCUGAAAGGGAUUUUGUGAUUAUGAUAGUAAGAGAUAAGGAAGAGGUCCCUUGUUAGCCUCCCUUUUAUAUUUAGAGAUUAUUGGCUGUAAUUCUUCUAGCUCUACUUUGUCUUAAUUUAUUGUUACUAGUCAAGUAAAUCCUAACUUUUGUUUGAAAUUAACUUCAAAGGUUUCAUCCUUCUGUCAAGGACCCACUUAUUCUUUGUAAAUGAAACAGUUUCUCUUUAGCUGCUUUUUAUACCUGCAUAUUGAUUCGAUGCCUUUUCCAAAAAACUACUUCAGUUUUUCAACCAAAAGUGUUUCUGAGUUCCAAGUGGACAGUAUUAAUAUUUAUUCUAUUUUUAAACCUUGAUCCUCAGACUUUAUUGCAAAGGUUUAAUUUUUAAAUUAUUUCCCUGGGAAAGGUAAAUUGGAUUAAUGCUUAAUCCUGAAUAACUUGAAUCUGAGGUUAGAUUUUCUGAAAGGAUUUUCAAAAGCACAUGUUUCUUAUAUUCAGUAUGGUCUGCAGAACAUUAAAUGCUUAACAGUUGUUGUGUUGCAAUGGUUGGAAGGAAGGAAGGAGAAAUGUUAACAAAUGCCUUUAAACAUAACUUGUUUCCUUCUACAGGAUUUCUGAUCCCUAAUCUGACUGAUCAUUGUGAUGGAACAAGAGCAAAAACUAUUGGUCUCAGAUUCUAAUGGCUUCACAAAGGAGGAGAGUUUGAAAAGCGGUAUUACAGGAGAUGAAAGUAAGAAUAAUUUGAAAACUGUUCAGUUCAGUAACUCCAAGGCAGAUAAAGAGAGAGCCUCAAAAUGGUCUAGAAGUGAUGGCCCAGAAAAUUGUAAGGAUGAAGACACAAAAGAAAUACUGUUGACAGGGUCCCAAGGAGGUAAAACUGAAUGUGCUGAUUCCUGUGAGAAUGAUAGCAACUUGGAGAAUCAGAGAAAUUGUACAGAAAAAGAGGAGGAACAACCCAAUCACUGGGGAUGGAGCCCAGGAGACCAUACCGGGCCUGCUGGCCAGCAGAACCCAUCCUUUGGGGACAGACCCUACAAAUGUUCUGAAUGUUGGAAAAGCUUCAGUAAUAGUUCUCAUCUUCGAACUCACCAGAGGACCCACUCAGGAGAAAAACCUUACAGAUGUUCUGAGUGUGGAAAGUGCUUCAGUAACAGCUCUCACUUGAUUCAGCACCUGAGAACACACACAGGCGAGAAGCCCUACCAAUGUGGUGAAUGUGGGAAAAGCUUCAGCAACACUUCCCAUCUUAUUAUCCAUGAAAGAACUCACACGGGAGAGAAACCCUAUAAAUGUCCCGAGUGUGCGAAGAGUUUCAGCAGCAGCUCUCACCUUAUUCAGCAUCACCGAUCGCAUACAGGUGAAAAACCAUAUGAAUGUCCGGUUUGUGGGAAAUGCUUCAGCCAUAGUUAUGUGCUUGUAGAACAUCAGAGGACCCACACUGGAGAAAAACCUUAUAAGUGCCCCGACUGUGGGAAGAGUUUUAGUCAGAGCUCUAGUUUGAUUCGUCACCAGCGGACACACACUGGUGAGAAGCCCUAUAAAUGUCCUGAAUGUGGAAAAAGCUUUGGUUGUAAUUCUACUCUAAUCAAGCAUCAGAGAAUACAUACAGGAGAAAAACCCUAUCAGUGUAUAGAAUGUGGGAAGAAUUUCAGUCGAAGUUCGAACCUGGUUACACAUCAGAAAAUGCACACAGAUGACAAAACCUAUCAAAGUUCUGAAUAUGAAGAAAGUUUGAGUCAGAACUAUAGCCUGAUAGAAGAAUGCAGAAUCCAGCCAGGAGAGAAGCCAUAUAAAUGUUGUGAAUGUGGAAAGAGUUUUGGCCUCAGCUCUCAUCUCAUAAGACAUCAGAGAACGCAUACAGGAGAAAAACCUUACAGAUGUUCUGAGUGUUGGAAAACUUUUAGUCAGAGUUCCACCCUGGUGAUUCACCAAAGGACACACACGGGAGAGAAACCUUAUAAAUGUCCUGACUGUGGUGAGUGCUUCAGUCAGAGCUUUAACCUUAUCAGGCACCGUAGGACCCACAUGGGGGAAAAACCUUACAAAUGUACUGACUGUGAGAAAUGCUUCAGCCGAAGUGCCUACCUCAGUCAGCAUCGGAAAAUUCAUGUAGGAAAAUCUUUUGAGUCUCCUGAAGUGGAAGAUUUUCCUCAUGAAUGGACUUGGAAAAACUAUUCUGAGGAAAUAGCACUCAUCCCUUCAUUUUCAAUCCCAAGUUCAUCUCCCUCCUGAGUCCUAAAGUCUGUUUCUUUUUCUUUUUUUUAUCAAAAAUUACAAUUAAGAUGUUCUCAGAUCACACUGUUGCAAAAUUUGUUUGGUUUGUUUGCCAAAACAUGUGGGAAAAGUCAACUUCCCAGCUUAAAGGUUGGGAAGACCCAGAUUAUCAGGUCACCAGAUUUGCCCAGUGAGAGAUACUGCCAGUGAUGGAGAGAAAGAAGAAUAUUUUUUAUUUAAGGUAAGACAGUAAUAGUUUCAAAGGAAAACAUGGAGAGAAAUCCUGGGAGACUAAAGAUGAGAUUGUCAUUGAAUCUUAUUUCCUGUUGCCUGACUGGGUGGUGACAGAGCAUUGCUGUCCUACGGGUUUGCCCAGAGAGAGAUUUUUUUGGAACAGAUAAUGUGAUCUCCUGGCUGUUUUGUUGAGUCUUAAGGAAGAGAAGACUAAUUUUUUUCAAAUAUGUUAUUUGCUAAAAAUUAGGUUUUAGAACUGCAUUGUUCGGUGCAACAGCCACUAGCCAUAUGUGGAUAGCUAAGUUUAAAUUGAUUAAGAUGAAAUUUAAAAUUGAGUUCUUUAGUCAUGUAAACCCCUUGCUGAAUGCUCAGUAGCCACUGGGGGCUGCUGUUUUAAAUAUCACAAAAAAUUCUUUCGAGAUCAUUAUUCUUGAUGGUUCUUGUAGGAAAUGUGCUCUGGGGAUUCUGUUCUCCAAGAGGAAUUACAAUAUAGUCUAGGAGUAGAUAGAGUUUUGAAGGCACUAGGUCUAACGGUUCACUGUUUUGAUGAUUGUAUGUUUUAGAUUCAACCAUCUCAGUUAUCUAGAGAUAUGAUCCCAUUGUCUUGGCCAAAGUCAGAUUAAGAGGUAGGAUUCAUAAUUCUGUUUUGAAUUUUUCUGUCAAGUGGUCCUCUUCCCUCAGUUUUCCUAUUAUAUAAUUCUUCAUCAGAUCAAAGUCACUGGGUUCUUUUUCUAUUAAUUAUCUCAUUGGGUCUGAGCCAGUGUCCAGGGACAGCUUGCCAGUGGGGCCCCAGAUACCUAAGUUCCAGCCUCGGCAGUUUGCUUUUGCCUCUUGACGUACAUGGUGUGUGGAUUCGGUAACCAAGACACUAUUCUCCCUGUUCAUUUGUUCAGUGGGAAUGGCGUGUUGUAAAGGAUUAAGAUAUUUCCUCUGUCCCCACCUCCGUUUUUUCCUGCCACUGUAAAAAGGUAGAUGUGUAUAGGAAGGUCAGGACUUGCCCAGGAUUUCAUCUUUUUUUUUUGUGAGUCAAAAAUAUAUUUUUUGAAGAAUAAGUAGCGAUGUAUAUUAGGAAUGUGGAGCCAGAAGGGGCCAGUUACAGCUGGGGCAGAGGGCUCUCUGUGGCUGGUGGGUAGCUGAAGUCCAUGGGGAUUUUCUUCCGUGACUGUGAUGCACCUGGUACUGGCAAGGCAACUGUGUCUUUUUAUAUUGUUUGGGAUUUAAAAAUGAAUCAAAGCUGAUAGUUAAUGGUAUUCAAGAAGUCUUUGGGGGUGAUUUUCUGCUUUCAGAAAGGGGGAAAACAUUUUGAGCAUCUUUGGCUUUAGUGUGACCUCUUACUCAAGCAUCCUGUUACCUUUGUAUGUUAGGCAGUGUUACCCCAAUUGUCUUAAACUGUGGUAUCUGAGGAUAAGUGUUUACAGUAUUCUUUUUUAAUUUAUUUGUUUUUUAAUUGAAGGAUAAUUGGUUUACAGAAUUUUGUUAUUGUCUGUCAAACCUCAACAUGAAUCAGCCAUAGGUAUACAUACAGUAUUCUUUAUCGCGGACAACUGAGAGUUUGAUGUUUGAUGAGAGUCUGAUUAAUGAUCAGUUGCAAAGAAGUAGCUGUUGGGGUGGUUCACAAUCGUGGAGCCCAUUAUGUGUAGCAAGUAACCACUCUGAACUUGGUUCCUCAUCUGUAAAAUAGAGAUAAUGUCUACAUUGCACGGUUUUGGUAAGUGUAAAAUGAAUGUUUGCAAAGCAGCUAGCACAGUGCUUAAAAUAUAGGUCUAAAUAAAUGGUAAUUAGUUAUUAUUAAUUUAAACAAAUUGAAAAAUAUCCUCCAUACAUUUUCAGAAGCAACAGUACAGUCCCAAACUUUCCUGCUUGUGGAUUUUUUAUGAUCAACCUCAGGAACCCCAAGGAAUAAGCACAAAGGAUUCAGCACCUGAAUAAAUAAAGCAUUCUUAUUAACAA